rnacentral:tRNA from 1 species
GUUACGGUAAGCUAAAACAAGCUAUUGGGCCCAUACCCCAGCCAUAUAGGUUAAAACCCUAUCCAUAACA